CUGUGUGUAGCUCAGUGGUAGAGCGCUUGCCUAGCAAGCGCAAGGCCCUGGGUUCGGUCCCCAGCUCCGAAA
rnacentral:tRNA from 1 species